GACCGCGUAGCUCAGUUGGAAGAGCUUUGGGCUAGUAUUCCAAAGGUCGUAGGUUCGAAUCCCACCGUGGCCG
rnacentral:tRNA from 1 species